rnacentral:lncRNA from 1 species
CCAGGAUGGACUAACGUAGGAAGCAAAGCUGCUGCUGCUGCUGCUGCUGCUGCUGCUGCUGCUGCUGCUGCUGCUGCUGCUGCAAUACUUCCCACCCUCUUCAGACACCCCUCCACCAGAGGGAAUUCUUCACUCCAGUCCGCUCAUAGCUACCUGGCUUACACAGGAGCUGUAGAGGCUCACUAGUGCAGUCUUGAUGAAAUGAACUUCUUGGACAAUGGGCAAUGGACAACUACAGAGAGGCCCUGGGCUUCAGUGUGGUACUCCCAUUAAAUCUGCUCUUCAUGCAAAACGCUGCCCAGCCUUGAGAGG